rnacentral:tRNA from 3 species
CGGGGUGUGGCUCAGUUGGUAGAGCGCUACGUUCGGGACGUAGAGGUCCCCGGUUCGAAUCCGGGCACCCCGACCA